rnacentral:rRNA from 1 species
CAGCCGCCGCGGGAAUACGGAGGGUGCAAGCGUUAAUCGGAAUUACUGGGCGUAAAGCGCACGCAGGCGGUCUGACAAGUCAGAUGUGAAAUCCCCGGGCUUAACCUGGGAACUGCAUUUGAAACUGUCAGGCUGGAGUCUUGUAGAGGGGGGUGGAAUUCCAGGUGUAGCGGUGAAAUGCGUAGAGAUCUGGAGGAAUACCGGUGGCGAAGGCGGCCCCCUGGACAAAGACUGACGCUCAGGUGCGAAAGCGUGGGGAGCAAACAGGAUUAGAUACCCGCGUAGUCCCUGUCUCUUAUAA